GAUGAAGAACGCAGCAAAAUGCGAUACUUGGUGUGAAUUGCAGAAUCCCGUGAACCAUCGAGUUUUUGAACGCAAGUUGCGCCCGAAGCCUUUUGGCCGAGGGCACGUCUGCCUGGGCGUCACGCAUCGCGUCGCCCCCCACAAUUCUCCGUAAAGGGAACAUGUGUUUUGGGGGCGGAUAUUGGUCUCCCGUGCUCAUGGCGUGGUUGGCCGAAAUAGGAGUCCUUUCGAUGGACGCACGAACUAGUGGUGGUCGUAAAAACCCUCGUCUUUUGUUUCGUGCUGUUGCUCGCAAGGUAAACUCUUUAAAAACCCCAAUGUGUCGUCUCUUGACGACGCUUCGACCGCGACCCCAGGUCAGGCGGGACUACCCGCUGAGUUUAAGCAUAUCAAUAAGCGGAGAA
rnacentral:misc_RNA from 1 species